rnacentral:rRNA from 1 species
AUUGAACGCUGGCUGCAGGCCUAACACAUGCAAGUCGAGCGGAUGAAGGGUGCUUGCUCCUGGAUUCAGCGGCGGACGGUUGAGUAAUGCCUAUUAAUCUGCCUGGUAGUGGGGGAUAACGUCCGGAAACGGGCGCUAAUACCGCAUACGUCCUUCGGGAGAAAGUGGGGGAUCUUCUGACCUCUCGCUAUCAGCUGUGCCUAUGUCGGAUUAGCUAGUUGGUGGGUUAACGGCCUACCAAGGCGACGAUCCGUAACUGGUCUUAGAGGAUGAUCAGUCAAACUGGAAAUGAGAAACGGUCCAGACUCCUACGGGAGGCAGCAGUGGGGAAUAUUGGACAAUGGGCGAAAGCCUGAUCCAGCCAUGACGCGUGUGUGAAGAAGGUCUUCGGAUUGUAAAGAACUUUAAGUGGGGAGGAAGGGCAGUAAGUUAAUACCUUGCUGUUUUGACGUGACCAACAGAAUAAGCACCGGAUAACUUCGUG